rnacentral:rRNA from 1 species
AGAGUUUGAUCCUGGCUCAGAACGAACGCUGGCGGCGCGCCUAACACAUGCAAGUCGAACGGACCAGUGCGGAGCACUGGGAAUAUCGAAAUUCGAAACUCUAAAUUCUAAGCAAGGUAGUUUAUUAGGAUUUCGGAAUUCUGAUUUGGUGCUUCCAGUGCUUCGCACUGGUUAGUGGCGGACGGGUGAGUAACACGUAGGUAACCAACCCUAAAGCGGGGGACAACCCAGGGAAACUUGGGCUAAUACCGCAUAAGACCACGACCUGGAAGGGAUGUGGUAAAAGGAGCAAUCCACUUUAGGAUGGGCCUGCGGCCUAUCAGGUAGUUGGCGGGGUAAAGGCCCACCAAGCCUAAGACGGGUAGCCGGACUGAGAGGUUGAACGGCCACACUGGAACUGAGACACGGUCCAGACUCCUACGGGAGGCAGCAGUGGGGAAUUUUGCGCAAUGGGGGAAACCCUGACGCAGCGACGCCGCGUGGAGGAUGAAGGUUUUCGGGUUGUAAACUCCUUUUGCAGGGGAAGAUAAUGACGGUACCCUGCGAAUAAGCCACGGCUAACUCUGUGCCAGCAGCCGCGGUAAGACAGAGGUGGCAAGCGUUGUUCGGAAUUACUGGGCUUAAAGGGCGCGUAGGUGUCCCGGCAAGUCAGAUGUGGAAUCUUUUCGCUUAACGGAAAAAUUGCAUUUGAAACUGUCGGGAUUGAGUCAGACAGGGGAUGGCGGAAUUCCUGGUGUAGCGGUGAAAUGCGUAGAUAUCAGGAGGAAGGCCGGUGGCGAAGGCGGCCAUCUGGGUCUGAACUGACACUGAGGCGCGAAAGCGUGGGUAGCAAACAGGAUUAGAUACCCUGGUAGUCCACGCCCUAAACGGUGGGUACUAGGUGUGGGGCUCGCAAGGGUUCUGUGCCGAAGGGAAACCAUUAAGUACCCCGCCUGGGAGUACGGCCGCAAGGUUGAAACUCAAAGGAAUUGACGGGGGCCCGCACAAGCGGUGGAGCAUGUGGUUUAACUCGACGCAACGCGAAGAACCUUACCUGGGCUUGACAUGUUAGUAGUAGGGAAAUGAAAGUGGACCGAUUCGUAGCAACACGAAAGCUAACACAGGUGCUGCAUGGCUGUCGUCAGCUCGUGCCGUGAGGUGUUGGGUUAAGUCCCGCAACGAGCGCAACCCUUAUCCUCUGUUACCUCGCAAGAGGGUCUCUGAGGAAACUGCCGGCGAUGAGCUGGAGGAAGGUGGGGAUGACGUCAAGUCAUCAUGGCCCUUAUGUCCAGGGCAACACACGUGCUACAAUGGCUACUACAGAGGGAUGCAAGACCGCGAGGUGGAGCCAAUCCCUAAAAGUAGUCGUAGUUGGGAUCGGAGUCUGCAACUCGACUCCGUGAACCUGGAAUCGCUAGUAAUCGCGGAUCAGAACGCCGCGGUGAAUACGUUCCCGGGCCUUGUACACACCGCCCGUCACACCACGAAAGCCUGUUGUACCCGAAGUCAGUGAGCUAACCUGCAAGGGAUGCAGGUGCCUAAGGUAUGGCAGGGGAUUGGGGUGAAGUCGUAACAAGGUA